CGACCGCUGGCGGCGUGCUUAACACAUGCAAGUCGACCGGAAAGGCCCUGCUUUUGUGGGGUGCUCGAGUGGCGAACGGGUGAGUAACACGUGAGUAACCUGCCCUUGACUUUGGGAUAACUUCAGGAAACUGGGGCUAAUACCGGAUAGGAGCUCCUGCUGCAUGGUGGGGGUUGGAAAGUUUCGGUGGUUGGGGAUGGACUCGCGGCUUAUCAGCUUGUUGGUGGGGUAGUGGCUUACCAAGGCUUUGACGGGUAGCCGGCCUGAGAGGGUGACCGGCCACAUUGGGACUGAGAUACGGCCCAGACUCCUACGGGAGGCAGCAGUGGGGAAUAUUGCACAAUGGGCGGAAGCCUGAUGCAGCAACGCCGCGUGCGGGAUGACGGCCUUCGGGUUGUAAACCGCUUUCGCCUGUGACGAAGCGUGAGUGACGGUAAUGGGUAAAGAAGCACCGGCUAACUACGUG
rnacentral:rRNA from 1 species